rnacentral:rRNA from 1 species
GUAGGUGGCAAGCGUUGUCCGGGUUUACUGGGCGUAAAGCGCGCGCAGGUGGCCCGCCAAGUCUGGGGUGAAAUCUCCCGGCUCAACCGGGAGAGGUCUCUGGAAACUGACGGGCUUGAGGAGAGCAGAGGAGAGUGGAAUUUCCGGUGUAGCGGUGAUAUGCGUAGAUAUCGGAAGGAACACCAGUGGCGAAGGCGGCUCUCUGGGCUCUUCCUGACGCUGAGGCGCGAAAGCGUGGGGAGCGAACCGGGAUUAGAUACCCGGGUAGUCCACGCUGUAAACGUUGGGCACUAGGUGUGGGAGGUAUUGACCCCCUUCCGUGCCCGAAGUUAACGCAUUAAGUGCCCCGCCUGGGGAGUACGGCCGCAAGGCUA